GAUGAACGCUGGCGGCGUGCUUAACACAUGCAAGUCGAACGGUGAAGGCGGAGCUUGCUCUGCUGGAUCAGUGGCGAACGGGUGAGUAACACGUGAGCAAUCUGCCCCUGACUCUGGGAUAAGCGCUGGAAACGGCGUCUAAUACUGGAUACGAGCUGCGAAGGCAUCUUCAGCAGCUGGAAAGAACUUCGGUCAGGGAUGAGCUCGCGGCCUAUCAGCUUGUUGGUGAGGUAACGGCUCACCAAGGCGUCGACGGGUAGCCGGCCUGAGAGGGUGACCGGCCACACUGGGACUGAGAGACGGCCCAGACUCCUACGGGAGGCAGCAGUGGAGAAUAUUGCACAAUGGGCGAAAGCCUGAUGCAGCAACGCCGCGUGAGGGACGACGGCCUUCGGGUUGUAAACCUCUUUUAGCAGGGAAGAAGCGAAAGUGACGGUACCUGCAGAAAAAGCGCCGGCUAACUACGUG
rnacentral:rRNA from 1 species